UCGGCCGUUCAAAAUACCCACAUUUCGUGGGUAUUUUGAAUAAGCAUAAUUUAUGCCUAAAUAUUUUCAAAAUGGCGGCGUCUAAUAUUGUCAAGUAUAUUGGAAUUGCACUUAAUUCCGCAAACUUUCCGCCAUUAAAUCUCAAGCCACUUCAAGUAAAGUGUCUGGAGUAUAUUUUGAAUGGCAAAGACGUAAUCGGGGUCUUACCUACAGGGUUUGGCAAGUCAUUAAUUUUUCAUAUUCUACCGUAUUUCAUGCCAACUAAGAAGCGCAGCAAUAUUGUUCUAGUUAUUUGUCCUCUAAAUUCAAUAAUUGAAGACCAACUGAAAAUCUUGAAGGAUAGAGGUAUCUCGGCUAAUGUACUUGUUGGAAGAAGCAAAGAUCGUAGCGAGAUUGAAAAGUUGUUCUCAUCGUCACCAGCUACUGAAGACAAAUCGUCCAACGAAAACCUUAGUCACCUUACUGAGGAAGACUAUCAAAUCCCGAACGACAUACUAAAUGGAGAAUGUUCGAUUGUAUUUGCCCACCCAGAAGCUCUAUUAAGCAAAGAAGGACGAAAAUUAAUGACAAGUCAAAUUUACCAAGACAAUGUUGUAGCUUGUGUAAUUGAUGAGGCACAUUGUGUUGAGCUAUGGGGCGAGGAGUUUCGAACAGACUUUAAAGACCUAUCCUCACUAAAAGCAUUCUUUCCAUUGGUUCCAACUAUUGCGCUGACAGCAACAGCUUCACCAGUAAUGUUGGAAAAGUUGAAAAAAAGUCUUCUGCUUGCCAGCUGCAAAAUUGUGUCUGUCAACCCAAACAGAAUGAAUAUAUACCUGGAAAAAAAGAUUCGACUUAGCAACAACGUGGGUAAUGAGAGUUAUAGAGCCAUUAUUGAACCAAUUGCUCAGGAGCUAGCAAUUAGAAGAGAGAAAUACCCAAUGACAAUUAUAUAUUUAAAGUUGAAAUAUUGUGGAUAUGCUUACUCUCUAUUUGAGAGAAUUCUGAAGGAUGACCAAUAUGUGGGGAACUCAAAAGAGCCAGCUGGGAGACUUUUUGCACAAUUCCACUCCCCACAAACUGACCGUAUGAAAAAGGAAAUCAUAAGAGAGAUAAAGAAAGAAGACUCAAGGUUUUGACAUGAUGUUUGUAAUGCAAAUAGCAACUUUCAAACUGGAGGAACAAUGACAAUGAUCAAAGGAAUCCCGAGAUGUAUGCUGGACAGAUUUUUUGUGAAUUCCAAUAGAACAAUCAACUGCUUCUGUAACUUGACUUAUCCCUGUUGUUGCUCUGCAGAUUUUACUAAUGGAGUUCAAAGUUUUGUUUGCACCCAUGCGUUGGACAAUACUCUUUGACACUUUGUUGUAUAUUUCCUGUGCCAAGUCGUCCUCAAUAUUCUUCCCUGCACCUCCUCGAUAGUUCACAAAGAAUCCCCAUUUGAAUUCUUCUGACAAUCUAGGGGUCAAGAGGCAUUCAAUCUGUGCUAUGCUAACAAACAUCUCGAUAGCAUAUUUGCUGUAACUUCCCAUUGAUUUGAAUACAGCCAGUAACAGUUUUUGAUUGAUCAGAUUUCUGUUGCCAUCAGCUUCUUUAGCAGUAUCUUUCAUUUGUAAUAGCAGAAUAGACAAGAAGAUGAAACACAACCCAUAGUUCAUGACAUAGUCUUCAUCAUCAUACGACUCGUUGGUACCUUUCUGCAGGACCAUUCUGUCAACGAAUUGCCCAAAAACAUUGUCAUAGUAUCUUGUCUUGCUUUCUUUGUUUGCCCUCCUGAUGUUGUCGGGGAAAACAUGGUCAGUAGGUUUGUCGUCAAGCUUUUUCAUACCAAAAAACUUAAGAACAGCAGCAACAAUGUAAGCUUUUCCCACGCUUAUAAACAAGUCCUCGCUUCCUUCGUAAGAGUCAAGAACUUUGGAUGGUGUAGCAUUCUUACGGUGAUACUUCUCUCUAAAAUACUUUAAUGUCCCAACCUGGUUUACGGACUCUGAUUUGUGAAGAAAUGAAUACGAAUAUUGGAGAAGUGAAGCUUUGGUAUGCCACAUCACAGGUUUGAAAGGCGAGCAAUGCUCAAACCUAUCUGAAGGCGUAUGAGACCCUGACAAAAGAUCCUUCGCACCAGCAAAACGCACUCUCGUUAACUGAUCCCCGGCAAAUGCAAUCUUCAUAUCUCUCAUUUGAUCAUUCGGAGUUGCUGCUUGAUGGGCAUGCGUCUGACCAGGGGCCGCAGGUCCAGCAGGCACUGGUGGAUUCUCUAUGGGGGGCAUUUCUUUGAGAAAACCAGCUUGAACAUAUAUUUCAGAAAUCCACUUUUCGUAAGUACGAAGGAUGGAAACACAAUCUUCAUAUUUUGCCUCAUUGGCAUUUAUUAUAGGCAUGCUAACAAUGGUUGACUGCUGUUCCAUUUCUUUACUGUAAACAUGUGAGAUAUGUUCCGGAACAACACCAUUUAGAAACUUGAAAUGGGGAAGAUAUUGAAGAACAAUCCGACCUACAAUAACCUUGGCAUUGUUUGCAUACUGUUUCCACUCAUUUACAUUUAAAGAAAAUGUGGAACGUGGAAGGUCGUCAAUGUUCCUCUUUGGCAUAUCAUUUGAAUCCUUAGAUCCCAAUUAUCUCCUGUACCACGGAAUACCUUUCCUUUCCUGAUCUUAUUGACAACUUGAUCAGAAAAAUGGCCUCCAAGCAUCCUGAUGAGUGCAUCCCUUCUUGAUGUGGACAGACACACCCCAAGCUUGUUCAAUCUUUCUUGUAACUACCAGAAAAAAUACACCUUUGCCUUUCUUUAAGCAGAGAUAGAAAUUCAUUAAAGAUAAUCUUGCACUUUCACAAUUUCACAAAAAAGUACAAAUUAUCUUAAGUGAAUUUUUAUUUUUGCUUAAUGAAGGGCAAAUGGAAGGGACAUUUCUGUGCAAUAUUAGCAAGGUUAUCUGCGUGUAAAGCCCGGAUCAAACGAGGACGAAAGUCCAUCGCAAAUUCAACUUGCGAAGUACUUGAACUUCCUGUUCAAACGUUUUAAAAAAUUGCGAUGAAAAUUUUAAAUUAUUCAAUGUUGUCGGAAGUCAACUCAAGUCAUCGCAAGUGGACAGUCACACGAGGUACAAGCAUGCACGCGCAAAACCUGAAGCAAAAACUUGCGAUGGACUUGCGUUCUAGUUUGAUCCGGGCUUAGCCCCGAGACUGGUUGACAUUUACAGUCCAUUAAACAUUUUUACAGACAGUAAUAAUAUGCACGUGCCUAUACUCAACAAUCAGAAAAUACAUGUUUGAUUGAUUCGUUAGGCAAAUUUUAAUUUGCGGCGAUUCGAAUGUAUUUUGCAUUUCUGUGCGAGCAUGUUGAUAAACAAGAUGCGAGUCAUGCGACCCUUCAUGUAGCAUUAUAAACAGGGAAUGAAACUUUAUUUGCCCUACAUUCUAGACAGAAAUCUCCUAAAGAAAGUAAGU